CAAAAUCCAUGUGUUAACCCCUUCGCAAAAUAUUGAGUUUUUGGUAAAUACUUUAUAUACUGAAGCCUAUAAUCUUUAGUGUUGUUUUAAAAUUUCUAACCACAUUCUACAUUUGUAUUAAUGUAUUUAAGCUCUUUUUCAUGGUAUAUGGGAAUCGAUAUAAUUUCUUUAUCAAUUAAUUUAGUAAAUCUUUAUAAUACUUCCGAAAUCGAUGAAAUAACUACUAUAAAAUAACUAUUUUCUUGAAGAAACAGAGACAACAAGGGCUCAAAACAUAUUUGACCAUCAUCAUAUGUUAGUACAAGAUGCAACUAUGCAUUAAAACAAUAUUGUCAUAUUUUUUGAUUUUUUCUCAAAAUCCAUGUAUUAAUCCUUUCGAAAAUAUUGAGUUUUUGGUAAAUACUUUAUAUACUGAAGCCUAUAAUAUUUUGUGUUGUUUUCAAAUUUCUAACCACAUUUUACAUUUUUAUUUAUGUAUUUUAAGCCCUUUUUCAUAGUAUAUGGGAAUUAUUAUAAUUCUUUUAUCAAUUAAUUUAGUAAAGUUUCAUAAUACUCCCGAAAUCGAUGAAAUAACUACUAUAAAAUAACUAUUUUCUU